rnacentral:misc_RNA from 1 species
AAUAAAAGCGUGCGUUCAUUUUUCCGCCAUUUUGUGACGAGCCUGGACGGAGCUGUGAGGUAGUUGUGAUAGGAGAGGAAUUUUCUUCUUGUUUUGUUUCAGAAGUCAUAAUGUCAAGUGGAAGAGUCUAUGUUGGAAGGUUGAGCUACCAAGCUCGAGAGAGGGAUGUUGAAAGGUUUUUCAGAGGUUUUGGUAGAAUACGUGAAAUCAAUCUAAAAAAUGGCUUUGGGUUUGUGGAAUUUGAAGACUAUCGAGAUGCUGAUGAUGCUGUCUAUGAGCUGAAUGGCAAAGAACUUGUUGGUGAAAGAGUAAUUAUUGAACAUGCCAGAGGACCUGCAAGAGGUCGUGAUGAAUACAGAUAUGGCUACCGCAGGAGAGGAGGUGUUGACAAGUUCGGAGGAUCUGGUGGGGGUGGUAGUAGGAGCUCACAAAGAUAUGGGCCUCCAGUCAGAACCGAACAUCGCGUCAUUGUGGAGCAUCUAUCCACCAGAGUUAGUUGGCAGGACUUGAAAGACUACAUGAGACAGGCAGGAGAGGUCACAUUUGCAGAUGCCCACAAACAGCGCAAGAAUGAAGGAAUCGUUGAAUUCGCUACGUACAGUGACAUGAAGAAUGCAAUUGAGAAACUAGAUGGAACAGAAAUUAAUGGACGUCGCAUCAAUGUGGUAGAGGACAGGCCCUCAUCAUCAUCAUCAAGGAGAAGGUCUAGGAGCCACUCUAGAUCUCGUUCCCGAUCUCGUCGUCGCUCCAGGUCUCCCCGAAGCAGAUCCCGAAGCCGCUCCCGUAGCAGGUCCCGAUCUCGCUCCCAUUCCCGCAAGUCUAGAAGCCCAAGGAAGAGCCCAAAGAGGAGCCCCAAGAGAAGUAGGAGCAGGUCUCUUAGUCCAAAGCGCGAUAGUCGAAGCCGGAGCCGUUCACGAAGCAAGUCACCAAGGAAUAGCAGAAGUCCUUCACCUAUUGAGCAGAACAACAAGGGAAUGUCAAGAUCCAGAUCUCCUAGUCCUCGAGAUGAUGAUUAGACUGGGAUGUCGGGUGGAAAGAAUGGUUUGGCCAAAUGGAAGUGGUAUCUAUGAAUGCAGAAAUUUAAAAGAUGUACAGCUGUAUACUUUGUGAACUUUGUAAAUUUACAGUUGUAUUUCAGUGACAGCAUAUUAAUAUGCUCUAGCUCAUUGCAUUCUACUUCACUUUGAAUGAUUGAUACUAUGUUGGGGGAAAAAGGGUGAAAUGUAGAUCAACACCAAAAUGUGGACCUCUUUUUUUCACCUGUACCAUUGUCACUUGGCUUUGGUCUGAAUAUUUCCCUUCAGAGGUGAGAAGAUAGUAUUGGCACCAUGGUAGUGUUGCAUUAAACUUUUCAUUUAAGGUAACUCCAUCAGUGCUUAUCAAAAUCAAGGUUUCUAUUAACUGCCAUUGAUAUUUAAGUUACCACAAAAUAAAGUUUUCUGCAACUGAACCAAUUUUUUUCCAAUAUAUUUUUAAUCAUACACCUGAAGAAAUGAUUAUCUACUAUUUUUAGUAUUUUAAUUGAUGCCUUCGCAGCAUCAUGCUCAGUUCAGAAAUCAUUACUGAAUCAGCUGAAUGAUAUUUGUACAUUAUGAUGCCCUUUGUAUAUUAUAUCUUUUCAAAUUGUAGAAAUUGUUUAAAUUGGUUUGAUGGAAAGGAGAGUUCUAGUACUACCGCUAUUGAACAGCUUUAUAUUUUUGGAGGAAAGCGAACCUGUCAUUACUGAUAACAAAUAAUCCUUACCCAAAUUAGAUCACAAAUGUGUAUUUUUCACAGCUUUUGUAAGUGGUAUUUAGGCAUUCCUUGAAUUUAUCUUUGGUUUAUUUUAAAUGUGAUGUGGUUCAAAUUGGUGUAUUUUUGUAAUUGUCCUUUCAUUCUCAAGGUUUUUUUUGUAAAUUUGAAAAUGUGUUGUAUUUCCUUUAGAGGUAAUUCUAAAAUUUCCUCCAUUUAAUAUUUUCUCCUUUUUAAAAAGCUUUCUUGUACAUUACUUUUAUUAGUGAUUAUGCCAGACAUUUUAAUAACAUGAUUGCACUCAUUCAAUAUUCAGAAAAACCCAAAUUAUGGCCGUGUUGCUGGAUGUACUUUUCAGAGUAACCAAGUGUUUUUAUUGUAAACCUCGCGUUUUCAUGAGAAAUACUGUUUUUCCACCAAAAACGUUCCCCCCCCCACUUUAUGGAAUGUUCUAAAGUAAUAGCUGCAGAAUGAGUUUUGAAAAGAACUGUAUUUUAAGUAGGGUAAUAAUUUGUAUGUAAACUUGUUUUUCACAUGGAUUAAAAGAAUGAAAGGCAAA